CCAGUUUGAACAACAAAAACAUAAUCUAAGCUUUCCAAACAUAUUUUAACAAUAAAAUCUCACCACAAAAAUAUUUAUAAAUCAUCAUCAAUGGUAUUUAAACUUACUGAGCAUUGUGCAUUCAUGUUUUGAGUCUUCGAGUCUUCGAUCUUUAUCUCUUCUUCUUCAAACAUUCAAGACUUCGACUAACUUCACGAAAUAUGCCAACAUAAAAUCCGUAACAAAAUCAAAUCAAUUUCGAUAAUAUUUUCCACCCAUAGUUGACACCCCUUAUGAA
rnacentral:lncRNA from 1 species